AGUGCCAAAACCUCGACCUACAUACCAUAACGCAGACUCAGAAGCUCCCCCUAACACAUUUGGACGCGAUGUUACUGCGGCCGAUUCAGUUAGUCUUUGCGGCAUUCGCGCGCUAGUGUAAUACUAAGCCCUUUGCCUUACUUCCUCCUGUACCAGUGAUUAUUUUGGUAAUAAAACCAUAAUGGCAGCACCAGAAGGCGGCACUCCUGGGGGUCUUGCCCCGGCGGAGCCCCAAACCGGUCCAGAUGGUGAAAUCAUCGGAGGACCUCGUACUCCACAACAGAUUGCUGCCCAGAGGAGGCUACAACAGACCCAGGCGCAAGUCGAUGAAGUUGUGGAUAUUAUGAAAUCUAACGUCGAGAAGGUAUUAGACAGAGAUGCCAAACUAUCAGAACUUGAUGAUAGAGCAGACGCGCUUCAGCAGGGAGCAUCGCAGUUUGAACAGCAAGCUAAGAGUUUGAAGAACAAAUUUUGGCUUCAAAAUCUUAAGAUGAUGAUUAUUAUGGGGGUGAUUGGUAUCGUUAUCAUUGGACUCCUGUUUGGUGAUAACAUUAAACAAAUGUUUGGUUAGUUCGAAAUCGCUCCACACCCACUAUGACCGGACUCAGCCCAGCCGUAGCGGAGAAUACAACAACACCUGUCCCAAGCCAUUGAAAAUACAUGUAAUCGUGCAUCUCAACUUAAGGAAUAUUCGUAUAACCGUUCGGAAAUCAGCAUUAAAUAUGAGGUCGCGUAGAUUUAGUAUAGAUUAAAAAAGUUACGUUUCUAUUUUCAAAAUUAUAUAUAUAUUUAAAUUGUGCUUUAUAGUGUUACUUACGAACUAAUUAUUUACUCUCACAGAACCUACAUGUGUAACGAUAUGUUAAUUUAACUAAAUCCUCUUGAAUUCCCAUUGGAAUACAAUCAAACACUGUCAUAAGAGUUUAAAGAAGUAAUAAAUUAAUAAAUACAUUAAGAUUAAACUCGGUUAUAGACAUAGAUUAAUGUGAUUCGAUUUAUUAAAUAGAUAAUAAUAUAGGUGUCAAAUUUAUCGUGUAAUCUGUUCUAAAUAGUUUGUUCGCUAUAAAAAAUAAUUAUUUGCGUGCCUUGCCUCAUUGUAAUUAUAUUUAUAUAAAAGUAUGUUUCAAUAUCGGCCUACAACAAUUAGCUAUGUUAUUUGAUAGUACAUAAAUCGAAUGGUGGUGUCUAAAAUAUAUAUAUAUUUAAUAUAUAAUAAAAUAAAUGAGUCCAAAGAAUCUGUUUUCAAUCCGAAAUAAUUGUAUUAUAUUAUUCUACACUUACCUGGAGUUUCUUCUUGAAAAUCAAUACAGACAGCUCAGAGUAUUUCAUUAAUAUGAUGAAGUCUGAAAACUAUCUUAAGUUUCAAGAUGCAAAGUCGCAGUAAAAGCAUCUUGUUUUCAAUUUAAUAUAUUUAAACAGCAAGAAACUUGUUGUUUUAGAUGUAUCCAUUGAUAAUAUAAAAUAUAAAUAUAGGCUGUUUGUUGCUAAGCAUUAUAUUUUGCGUCUUGAAUAUGUAACGAAAGUCAAUUUAGUAAAUAAAAAAAUUAUUCUUUGGACUAUAUAUUAUAAAAAAAGAUGUUUAUUUAAAAUUUAAUUAAAUAUCGAUUACAACUUUAACAACACCGACGUUUUAGUUUUAAAAUAAGUAACGAAGUAUAAUUCUUUAUUGACAAUACGUGUAAUAUUUUUAGAUUGUAUCUUUGGUUGUGUUAAAUAACAUUGCCUUUAGUAUGAGUUUUUUUGUUAAAGACAAUAUAUCUGGAAAAUAAACAGGAAGAAAUUUGCAAACUUCAAUAGUUUUUGCAAACAAUUAAGCUCGGACUAAAGGCAUUGUGAACUAUUACUUAUUUAAGAUGUCAAUUAAAUUACAACUAAUUAUCUUUAUUCUUCUGAUAAAACCAGGACUUUUGACUGGAAUGAUAAAAAAAAAAAAAAUUGUCAAAAGUUCGACGGAAGAGAAAUUCUGAAUUUAAAGUCUUUAAAAAUAAUAAUAAUAUUAAUUUUAGCUCAAAUUGACAAGUUCGGAAUGACGGGUAUGACCUGAAUAUAUGUAGGUACUAGGCGUUCGUUUCAAGUUACUAUAUUAUAUUCUGCUUUAUAUAUACAUGUAUAUCUAUGUAUUCAUUUUAGGUGAUAUAUUACGUACCUACAUCUACAGGAAAUGUAAUGGUGCCAUUGACAAUAUUAGUUUUUUAUAUGAAUGUGUGUUGUAAUAGAUUGUUUUUUAAUCUGUCACUAUCGCUUAAGACUUUCGGUAACAAUAAUUAAUUUAAAUUAUACAAUUCAUAUUCUUAAUGGCAAUUUUUUUUUUAAGUACGGUUGGCGUAACGAGUUUUGAUUUUUAAGUCCAACAGUACUUUGGCACAAUAGUUACUGCAUAAGUUCCUUGUUGUAUUAAGUGUUACAUUUUAAAAAUAUAAAAUAAAUUCACUUUAUUAUUUAUUAGAAUUAAUGCAUACAUUGUUUUUUUGUUUUAAUUUUUUGAAUGUUUCGUUUCUUGUAAAAUAAUGUAAAUUAAAUCAAUACAUUAUAAAUGUAUAAUUUUUUAUGUAAAAAAAAUGUUACAAAAAAAAAAAAAUCAUUUAAAUCUUUAAUAUUUAUUAAUAGUUAGAAUAGUGAAGUUUUAAUUGCACUUUAAAAAACUGUUUAGUGUAAUAAUAAUUUCAUCGGAAUAUUGUAAAUUACACGUUAUUGAAAUACAUCAUAUGAACCGA